rnacentral:lncRNA from 1 species
UAAAUAGUGUCAAGAGUUUGAUGAUGCAUGUUUUGUGGGAUUAAAUUAGUAGGCUUGAGGUGCUGAAAUAGUACAUGCUAAUGGAUUAUGAUAAGGAAAACCGUUAGGUCAUGAUCGAUUAUUGUGGUUAUGAAGUUCUAGUGCACUAGUGUUUCGUGAUGUUUAUUUAUAGUUUCCAAGUGAAAAUUUUGUGUAAGGUUGGGUUGUAAAUCAUGCA